GGUGGUUUGGCGCGUUGUUCGUGAAAUCUCACGGCUUAACUGUGAGCGUGCGGGCGAUACGGGCAGACUUGAGUACUGCAGGGGAGACUGGAAUUCCUGGUGUAGCGGUGGAAUGCGCAGAUAUCAGGAGGAACACCGGUGGCGAAGGCGGGUCUCUGGGCAGUAACUGACGCUGAGGAGCGAAAGCGUGGGGAGCGAACAGGAUUAGAUACCCUGGUAGUCCACGCCGUAAACGGUGGGUACUAGGUGUGGGUUUCCUUCCUUGGGAUCCGUGCCGUAGCUAACGCAUUAAGUACCCCGCCUGGGGAGUACGGCCGCAAGGCUAAAACUCAAAGAAAUUGACGGGGGCCCGCACAAGCGGCGGAGCAUGUGGAUUAAUUCGAUGCAACGCGAAGAACCUUACCUGGGUUUGACAUGCACAGGACGCCGGCAGAGAUGUCGGUUCCCUUGUGGCCUGUGUGCAGGUGGUGCAU
rnacentral:rRNA from 1 species